CAUGUAGGCGGUUUGGUAAGCCUGACGUGAAAGGCUAUGGCUCAACCAUGGCACGGCGUUGGGAACUGCUAGACUUGAGUCACGGAGAGGGAGCUGGAAUUCCAGGUGUAGGGGUGAAAUCUGUAGAUAUCUGGAAGAACACCAGUGGCGAAGGCGAGCUCCUGGCCGAUGACUGACGCUGAGGUGCGAAAGUGUGGGGAUCAAACA
rnacentral:rRNA from 1 species